CAGAUUGAACGCUGGCGGCAGGCCUAACACAUGCAAGUCGAGCGGUAGCACAAGGAGCUUGCUCCUGGGUGACGAGCGGCGGACGGGUGAGUAAUGUCUGGGAAACUGCCCGAUGGAGGGGGAUAACUACUGGAAACGGUAGCUAAUACCGCAUAACGUCUUCGGACCAAAGUGGGGGACCUUCGGGCCUCACACCAUCGGAUGUGCCCAGAUGGGAUUAGCUAGUAGGUGAGGUAAUGGCUCACCUAGGCGACGAUCCCUAGCUGGUCUGAGAGGAUGACCAGCCACACUGGAACUGAGACACGGUCCAGACUCCUACGGGAGGCAGCAGUGGGGAAUAUUGCACAAUGGGCGCAAGCCUGAUGCAGCCAUGCCGCGUGUGUGAAGAAGGCCUUCGGGUUGUAAAGCACUUUCAGCGAGGAGGAAGGGUUCGGUGUUAAUAGCACUGUUCAUUGACGUUACUCGCAGAAGAAGCACCGGCUAACUCCGUGCCAGCAGCCGCGGUAAUACGGAGGGUGCAAGCGUUAAUCGGAAUUACUGGGCGUAAAGCGCACGCAGGCGGUUUGUUAAGUCAGAUGUGAAAUCCCCGAGCUUAACUUGGGAACUGCAUUUGAAACUGGCAAGCUAGAGUCUUGUAGAGGGGGGUAGAAUUCCAGGUGUAGCGGUGAAAUGCGUAGAGAUCUGGA
rnacentral:rRNA from 1 species